rnacentral:lncRNA from 1 species
UCUUAAAGGAAGAUAGUGCAGGAGAUUGCAGUUCUGGGCACCUGCUUUCUGGCCUUGGCAGAACACGAUGCACUUUGAAUGGGGGAGAAUCUUUCCUUGGGCAGAUGAUAGCGUGUGCUGCUGACUGAGCCAGCUAUGGCAGUUGAGUGCAGAGCUGUAGCUUGAGGAAAUGCAUGUGCUCCAUGGGGAAUGUGCCUCUCAAGCCAGGACAAUGGGGGAAGAGAUCAUGGGGUGUAAGUCUGAAGAGACAUCAGUGCUAUGGACAGCCUAAUGGCUGACUACUGUAUAACCAGAUGCAUGGCCACUCCAUAACAGCCCAUAAGCCCUGCCCACGUACCCAGCGGUUCACUCUGAGCUCUGUUCAUGCAGUCUUUAAGUCGUGAUACCCUGUCUCUUCUUUUGCCUUCAUCAGAAAGCUCAACUACAACUACUGUGGAAUCAUCUACCAUAUCUGGAUCACCAGCAACAGAAACCACACCUACAAGUCCUGGAGACAGUUCUACCAACUCUACAACACCAUCAACAGACGAAACCACACCUACAAGUCCUGGGAACAGUUCUGCCAUCUCUACAACACCAUCAACAGACGGAAAUACAACUGCGUCAACUGGGAAUGCUACUAUGGUCCCUUCUUCACCAGUAACACAAGGAAACACGUCUACAACACCUCUGGAAACUUCUACCACUUCUGCACCUCCAACACUUGGUAAGGAUGUUGAGAUGCGUGUGCUGGUGACUGGGUCCAGUUUGUUCCACAAGUGCAGCUGA